UUUAAUUACAACUAUAAAUUUUCGUGCCUAACUUUGACCGUUCAUUUUAUUUAGAAAUUUUUUAUAAUUAGUAUUUUUAUUGUUAUGAGAUGAUAAAAUAUGAAUAGUACUUUAUACGUGACUUAUGUUUUUAAAUUCUUUCAGAAAAUUUUUAAAUAAGCCGGACGGUCAAAGUUGUGCACAAAAAUCAUGGCUGCGCUUAAA
rfam:Oryza rufipogon genomic scaffold, chr07